rnacentral:tRNA from 1 species
GGGGAUAUAGCUCAAUUGGUAGAGUGCUUGUCUCAAAUGCACGUGGCCUUGGGUUCAAUCCCCAGUACCA